rnacentral:rRNA from 1 species
AUUGAACGCUGGCGGCAUGCUUUACACAUGCAAGUCGAACGGUAACAGGCCGCAAGGUGCUGACGAGUGGCGAACGGGUGAGUAAUGCAUCGGAACGUGCCCAGUCGUGGGGGAUAACUGCUCGAAAGAGCAGCUAAUACCGCAUACGAUCUACGGAUGAAAGCGGGGGACCGUAAGGCCUCGCGCGAUUGGAGCGGCCGAUGUCAGAUUAGGUAGUUGGUGGGGUAAAGGCUCACCAAGCCAACGAUCUGUAGCUGGUCUGAGAGGACGACCAGCCACACUGGGACUGAGACACGGCCCAGACUCCUACGGGAGGCAGCAGUGGGGAAUUUUGGACAAUGGGGGCAACCCUGAUCCAGCAAUGCCGCGUGCAGGAAGAAGGCCUUCGGGUUGUAAACUGCUUUUGUACGGAACGAAACGGUCUGGGUUAAUACCCUGGGCUAAUGACGGUACCGUAAGAAUAAGCACCGGCUAACUACGUGCCAGCAGCCGCAGUAAGAC